UACGUAGGGUGCGAGCGUUAAUCGGAAUUACUGGGCGUAAAGCGUGCGCAGGCGGUGAUGUAAGACCGAUGUGAAAUCCCCGGGCUUAACCUGGGAACUGCAUUGGUGACUGCAUCGCUCGAGUAUGGCAGAGGGGGGUAGAAUUCCACGUGUAGCAGUGAAAUGCGUAGAGAUGUGGAGGAAUACCGAUGGCGAAGGCAGCCCCCUGGGUCAAUACUGACGCUCAUGCACGAAAGCGUGGGGAGCAAACAGG
rnacentral:rRNA from 2 species